UACGAAGGGGGCUAGCGUUGUUCGGAAUCACUGGGCGUAAAGCGCACGUAGGCGGAUCUUUAAGUCAGGGGUGAAAUCCCGAGGCUCAACCUCGGAACUGCCUUUGAUACUGGGGAUCUCGAGUCCGGGAGAGGUGAGUGGAACUGCGAGUGUAGAGGUGAAAUUCGUAGAUAUUCGCAAGAACACCAGUGGCGAAGGCGGCUCACUGGCCCGGAACUGACGCUGAGGUGCGAAAGCGUGGGGAGCAAAC
rnacentral:rRNA from 1 species